rnacentral:tRNA from 1 species
AGUGGCCGAGAAUUAUAGGCGAUAGAUUUUUAAUCUGUUAACGUUUAACUGAACCU